rnacentral:lncRNA from 1 species
AAAAGGAGGAGAAGAUCCUGACAUUUCUUCAGUGAUCUUGAAUGGAGAAGGAUGACCCAUUAUGGUGCUGAAAGUGGUCUGAACUGAUGGAUGACCCAGGCUGGGGUGCAGAGAUUAGCCCUUUACUAGGCUAUAGUUCUUUGAUAUUUCCUUCUCUUGUAAAAGUACAGAGUUCCUGCAUCAUCGCAUGUCAUCGUCUCAGCCAACGUGGGCAGAAUAUGUCACUUCCAGGAAGAUGAGCCACUCACAGCAGUGGUAAGGCUGCCCAGACAAUAUGUAGUAUCACUUAUUUGAGAUGAACGUGCAUGUGCUUUUUUUUUUUUUUCUCUGAG